rnacentral:piRNA from 1 species
GGGCACUUUUGUUGGAAACAGUGGGC